UACAGAGGUCUCAAGCGUUGUUCGGAUUCAUUGGGCGUAAAGGGUGCGUAGGCGGCGCGGUAAGUCGGGUGUGAAAUCUUGGAGCUUAACUCCGAAACUGCAUUCGAUACUGCCGUGCUUGAGGACUGGAGAGGAGACUGGAAUUUACGGUGUAGCGGUGAAAUGCGUAGAUAAUCGUAAGGAAGACCAGUGGCGAAGGCGGGU
rnacentral:rRNA from 1 species